rnacentral:tRNA from 2 species
GCCCAAGUGGCGUAGCCAGGUAACGUGGCGGCCUGUGGAGCCGCAGUCCCGGGUUCGAAUCCCGGCUUGGGCC